UAACAAAACUAUUCGCCAGAGUACUACUCGCAACUGCCUAAAACUCAAAGGACUUGGCGGUGCUUCACAUCCACCUAGAGGAGCCUGUUCUAUAAUCGAUAAACCCCGAUAGACCUUACCAACCCUUGCCAAUUCAGCCUAUAUACCGCCAUCUUCAGCAAACCCUAAAAAGGAACAAUAGUAAGCACAAUCAUAACACAUAAAAACGUUAGGUCAAGGUGUAGCUUAUGGGUUGGAAAGAAAUGGGCUACAUUUUCUACAUAAGAACACCCAAUACGAAAGUUUUUAUGAAACUAAAAACCAAAGGAGGAUUUAGCAGUAAAUCAAGAAUAGAGUGCUUGAUUGAAUAAGGCCAUGAAGCACGCACACACCGCCCGUCACCCU
rnacentral:rRNA from 1 species